CGUCAGGAAGCCGGAGCGAAAGAGGAAGUGAGGGAGAAAAUACUCUCGGGGAGAGAUAGAGAGAGGGGGAAAAUAGAGAAAGAAAGAGAGGUCCGGAGUGAGGAAGAGAGAGAGAUAAAACCGCGGGAGUGGGAGAGGGAAAAGACUGGGUGAGGGUGAGGGAGAGAGAGAGAGAGAGAGAGAGAGAUAAACCGGGAGUGGGAGAGGGAAAAGACUGGGUGAGGGAGAGAGAGAGAGAGGGAGUGAGGGAGAGAGAGUAAAGGGGGACAGAAACACCGGGGAGGGAGAGCAGUGGAAGGGUAGAAUGUGAAACUGGGAGACGGAGGGCAAAACUAGGAGAGAGAGAGCAGAGAGGGGCAGAGUGUGAAACUGUGCAGAGGAGAGAGAGUGAGAUUGCUAUAGACGGAGAGAGAGUGCGAAACAGGGAGAGAAAGAGAGAGAGAGUGAAGUGGAGAGAGAGAGAGGGUGAAACAGGGAGGGAAAGAGAGAGAGGGUGAAACAGGGAGGGAAAGAGUGAGUGAGUGAAGUGGAGAGAGAGAGGAGUGCGAAACAGGGAGAGAAAGAGAGAGAGAGAGUGUGGAAUCGAGACAGAGGGAGAGAUAGGGUGUGAAACCGGGGGGAGGAAGGUAGAGAACGGGGGAGAGCGGCGAGAUGGGGAGCCUGUUUCGCGGCGAGGAGAUGUGUCUGGCCCAACUCUUCCUGCAGACGGGAACGGCCUUCCAGUGCGUGGCCGAGCUGGGCGAGAGGGGGGCUGGUCGAGUUCCGGGAUCUGAACAACGAGGUGAGUCUGUUCCAGCGAAGAUUCGUCGGGGAGAUUCGCAGAUGUGAGGACCUCGAGAGGAGCCUGGCCUACCUGCAGGAGGAGAUGGGCCGCUCGACGUGGAAGGG